GUGGAUUAGAUACCCGGGUAGUCCACGCCCUAAACGAUGCGGACUGGACGUUGGGCUCAACUAGGAGCUCAGUGUCGAAGCUAACGCGUUAAGUCCGCCGCCUGGGGAGUACGGUCGCAAGACUGAAACUCAAAGGAAUUGACGGGGGCCCGCACAAGCGGUGGAGUAUGUGGUUUAAUUCGAUGCAACGCGCAGAACCUUACCUGGCCUUGACAUCCACGGAAUCCUUUAGAGAUAGAGGAGUGCCUUCGGGAACCGUGAGACAGGUGCUGCACGGUCGUCGACAUCU
rnacentral:rRNA from 1 species